AUAAGUAGAAAUAAAAAUAAGUUAAAAUGAUAAUUUUCAAUUUUUAAUUAAAGUAUAACCGUAAAUUUGCAUAUUAAUCUUUUAUUUUGAUAAAUGUAUAAGACAAGAAAAGAAAAAAAAGAGGGUUAAUUGCAUAUUUAAUAUUGGCUUAUAGAUUUAAAAGGUCCUUAAGAAAAAAAAUUAAAAAAAUCCAUUAAACCC
rnacentral:lncRNA from 1 species